rnacentral:tRNA from 1 species
GUGUUGUUAGCUCAGUUGGUAGAGCAAAGGAUUGAAGCUCCUUGUGCCGGCGGUUCGAUUCCGUCACAACACA